CCUACGGGAGGCAGCAGUGGGGGAUAUUGCACAAUGGGGGGAACCCUGAUGCAGCGACGCCGCGUGGGUGAAGAAGCGCCUCGGCGCGUAAAGCCCUGUCAGCAGGGAAGAAAAUGACGGUACCUGAAGAAGAAGCCCCGGCUAACUACGGGCCAGCAGCCGCGGUAAUACGUAGGGGGCAGGCGUUAUCCGGAUUUACUGGGUGUAAAGGGGGCGCAGACGGCGAUGCAAGCGAGGAGUGAAAGCCCGGGGCCCAACCCCGGGACUGCGCUUGAAACUGCGUAGCUGGAGUGCAGGAGGGGCAGGCGGAAUUCCUGGUGUAGCGGUGAAAUGCGUAGAUAUCAGGAGGAACACCGGUGGCGAAGGCGGCCUGCUGGACUGCAACUGACGUUGAGGCCCGAAAGCGUGGGGAGCGAACAGGAUUAGAUACCCGGGUAGUC
rnacentral:rRNA from 1 species